UACGGGGGGAGCAAACGUUGUUCGGAAUUACUGGGCGUAAAGGGCGCGUAGGCGGUCCUGUAAGUGGUGUGUGAAAUCCGAUGGCUCAACCAUCGAGCUGCGCUCCAUACUGCAGGACUUGAGUACAGCAGAGGAAAGUGGAAUUCCCGGUGUAGCGGUGAAAUGCGUAGAUAUCGAGAAGAACACCGGUGGCGAAGGCGGCCAUCUGGACGGUGACUGACGCUGAGACGCGAAAGCGUGGGGAGCAAACAGG
rnacentral:rRNA from 1 species